rnacentral:rRNA from 1 species
AUACGAAGGUCCCAAGCGUUAUUCGGAAUCACUGGGCGUAAAGAGUACGUAGGCGGUUUGGUAAGUCAGGUGUGAAAUCCCGAAGCUCAACUUCGGAACUGCAUCCGAUACUGCCAGACUAGAGUAAUGGAGAGGCAGGUGGAAUUCUCGGUGUAGCAGUGAAAUGCGUGGAUAUCGAGAGGAAGACCAAUGGCGAAGGCAGCCUGCUGGACAUUUUCUGACGCUGAGGUACGAAGGCUAGGGGAGCGAAAGGGAUUAGAAACCCUAGUAGUCC